GAUACAGAGACAAGAAAAUCCACGGUGUCACAGCAUCAGUUUGAACACUCAAUUCAUCACCACGUUUUCUCUGCAGGCUUUUACCACCCUCCUGACUGCUGCUUCUCCUACACCCAACGAAGCAUCCGAUGUUUAUUCAUGACAAGUUAUUUUGAAACGAGCAGUGGGUGCUCCCAGCCAGGUGUCAUCUUCCUCACUAAGAAGGGGCAACGUGUCUGUGCCAACCCCAGCAAUGAGCAAGUUCAGGAUUGCAUGAGAAAACUGAAGAGUUCCCCAGUAUCCAUGGGCCCCGGAACAAUAAAAUUUACUUGAGAAGACACACAAGUUACCAGCUGCCCACCUCCAACUCUCUUGCAAAAACUAUAUCCUGAAUUCUUUUUUUAAAAAAACAUUUAUUCUUCUGUUUUGGUUUUAAAGCAAUGCAUCUAAUAAAGAGUAUACAAUUUACUUGAA